CGGAGCUAUUCACGCUCAAGGUAUCUGGCUGCAGUCACCUCCGUGUUAAAGAAAUCAUUUCGACUCGAGAUUCAAACCAGGAAACAUCUGUGGGUCUGUGCGUGUUCCACUUCUUGCCUGUAGUCUGCAACAUCAAAAUGGUGAAGGUCUUGUCAUUUUUCCUGCUCAUGGCAGCCGUGUCUCUGACCACCGUGUCCGCUCGAACAUGGAAGGAAGGCGACAACGGUUUGGUUCGCUGGGACUUGGAUUGUGCAUUUAAAGGCAGUGAAAUCAUCGCCAAGAAGGACAUCCCUGGCGACCAUUGCGGAAGAUUCUGCUUGGUCAACGACGCGCCCAGCAAAAAGUGCACCCAUUUUACUUACAAGAGUGGAACAUGUUACCUGUAUCACUCCACCAUUAAUUGGCUGGUAGAAAGUGAAUAUCUAAGCGCUUGCGGUUUCAUCCCCGAGCGCACCGCGCAGAAAAUUGACUGAAUAAACGAACGCAAUCGAUAUGAAUUUUGGCAAUGAAGAACCACUACUUGAGAAAAAAAACAAUUACCGUUCCAAAUAUUUCGAUUAAUAGCCGAGGAUAUACUGUAAUAUGUUCGGCAUCACAUUGGUAAAUACAUAUUAUAAGCAAGGUU